rnacentral:lncRNA from 1 species
GAUUUUCCUAAGCGCGAUCGGGAACCUGAGCGUCCGAACCUAUGAUAUGAGACAUCAUAGAGCAAAGAAAGAGUAUGCGUCAGUUCGUGGAAUGUACUGAUAUGAUAAAUGAGGUAAGGAUGAAUACAAGGGUUCAUAUAAAUGAAAAGUAAUUGACUAAAUGAUAUAUAGUAACUGAGUAUGAGAGUACAUGGAUAACUGAAACUACUGUAAAUACUGAGUAUGUAAUACAGUGCAUAUAUGUAUACUACCACUAAGCUUUUCUGAAGCUAAGUACUGAGUUCUGAUAACUGAGUAACUGACACCUGAAGUUACUGAUAACUAAAUUACUGAUAUUGAGUGACUGUGUCUGAUAGUCCUGAUUUUGUAGAACUAAAUAGAACUCUAAACUGAGACUAAAACUGAGAUCGUGGGAGGUAAUCAUCUAACCGACAUACCCCUCUCAGAACUGAUUAGUGUCCAACCUGUAACCCCAUCUAGAAGGGUACUAAUACUGUGCCACGAGUACUAAUACUAGAAAACCAGGAUACCAAGCCUAACUAACUGGUAACACCUGGGGGGAGCCAAGCCUAAUCUAACGGAUAACCCCUGGGAGGUAGUCAAGCCUAGUCUGACGGGUGACUCCUCAUCCUGUGCUGGCUACGUAGUUUGGAGUACAAGGACUAUGUAAUGCCCCAAAAUCUCAUUUUGAGACGUCAUACGGUACUUAAGUCUAUAAGUAUCCCUAAGCUAACCCUUUGAGCCUGUUACUAUUUCUAACACUUACUUUUAAGAUGGAUAAAGCAAAACAAUGGCACUGUCAUAACAUAUCUCAACUGAAUUAACAGAAGAGUACUGCCUGAAUAGCAACAUGCUAAAAAGUCUAAAACACCACUGAUAGUCUAGUCUGACAAAGCCUCUACUACUCAAGAACUAGAGAGCCAUUGGGACAGAUCCCAAACUGACUCAUACUCAACUGAAAAGAAACAACUCAACUACUAUGAAGACUGAAAUUAGGGAAAACGGGUCCUUGAACCAUGAGGACUCACCAACUAUGGAGGUGUAGAUCAAGGUACUCGAUGAUUACUGACGCUGCUGAGACUGAAUACCUGAACCUAUAUUAUGAGACAAUGUAGCACACAGACGUAUAUGUAGAUCAGUACUUUGAGGAUGUACUGAGUAUAUGGGGGUCUAUGCGAUACUUAAAAUAAUAAUAUCAUCAAUCUUUACAAAAAUCAUGCAUGCUAAUAUAACUGACUCACAUAGCUCAAAUAAUCUCAAAAUGCAUAUCUCAUAAAUUAUGAAUAAUAGAACACAUAGUAUAAAUCUCAUCUCAAGGAACAUAUUUUACUUUAGAAACUGAUUACUUACUCUUACAAAUAUGGAAAACUACUUUCUGCUUGGGAAAAUUUUACUUUAAGAAACUACUCUGAAAAAUCUUGUUAUUAAGGAGGUUCUCUUAAUCGACAUACACCAUGCAACCUACAUGGAGUCCAAUGACUUAUCCUCUUAAGGAAGAAACCUCGUGUUGAGGAGAGGCAUCAUACUCUUUUCAGGGAGUAUAACCUCAACUCAGCUAUCACUAUCUUGGCCUCGAGCCCAUAAAUCUCAAUCCUAGGGUGGCACGUAGUUCUGGCAUAUGAAACCGUCAUAACUUACCCAACUCGAUGCUAAAUACUGCUCCCUUUAUUAGCUAAACUCAUCUCAUGGAAAUUCACUUUAAAAUAAUCUCGUGGUUCAUAAAGAACCAACUAUAAAAUCUAUAAUCUCAAUUAGAAAAGUGGAUUUCAAAGCUACUAUGACCGUUAAAGUCAAAACUUUCUCAAUAAUCUCAAAAUACUCAAAUUAUGGAUGCUUAUAGCACAAAAGUUCUUAAAAUUACAAUCUCAAAUAGGGCUUAAUGACCCAUAUAUAAAUCUCACGUUAAGAAGCAUCAAAAUUCAUACUCGAUAUCAUAAAGAUUCAUAAAUCAUAUAGAAAUCUGGAAAUUUUCAGUAAUAUACAUUAUAAUCUCAACAUACUCAUGUACUUCAAUUUCUAAAACAAUGAAACCAUCAUAAUCUCAAGAAAUACAACAUAGGGUAUAACCCAUACUUUUGUUUUAUAAGAAAACAUGUAAACCCAUAUAUCUUUGUAAUUAAAACAAAUUUUGGGCACAAGGAUGAAAGGAGUGUCCCUGGUCAAACCCCACAUACCUUAGAUUAUGACUUGUAGAUGAACAAGCCUGCUUGAGACUCUUUUUUGUACUCUUGAGUGAGGGUUCUGGAAGCUUUUGACUUGGGAACAUUGAAUCUUAACUUAAUUUGUAGAAACGAUGGUGGAAUCUUAAGGUUCUUGGAGAAAGAUUUGGAUUUGAUCUUGAAAUUUAAUCUUGAGAGAAAACCCUAGUUCUUGAUGCUUUGGAUGAUUUUAAAGUUCUAUGCUUCAUUUUGAUAUAUCUAGGUGUUAAAAAGAGUGGAAAAGACCAAAAAGCCCUUUCAAAAUGACUUUAAAAUACUAAACGGAAUCUGUAAUGGCUCGUGCGACUGUACAUCACUGGCCCGACGGUCUGUCGGUCCGACCGUCACACUUGGACCAGAAUAGGGGCUCACUGCCUUGGUAGCGACGGCUUGGGCGACGGUCCAUUGUAAGCUUGAUGGUCCAUCGGCCUGAUCGUCGCACUUGGCCAGUGGAUGGGUUUACUUCCUUAGUUGCGAUGGCUCGAGCAACGGUCCGUCGCAAGAUCGAUAGUUCAUCAACCUGCCCGUCGCACCUGGAUGAUUCUGACAGCUCUCAGUAAAACAACCAUAACUUAUCACUCUUAUACCGGAUUUGGAUGAAAUUGGUAUUGUUGGAAAGUUAAUUCAAUUUUCCAUAUGAUAAAAAGUCAAAAUUAGCAAAACUCUAUCUGAUUUAAACACUACUCACUUUGGAAGUCAUUCCUUAAUCUUAUAGAGAUACAAUUUGGACUUACAGAAAGAUCGGGAUAUUACACACUGCUAUUAACGACUCUGCCUGUUUGACCGGAAAGUCGUCAUCCCUGUACUCGCUUGGCGCUAAAUCCUACUCCUAACUGAAAGAUACUGAACUGAGUAUACAGAACUAGACUAGACUGAUACUAAGUUUUCUGAGUUAUCCUGAGUUCUGUAACUGACUGGAUUUUACUGAUUGGGACAUGACUGAUACUAAUAUGUAACUGACACUGGCUAUAGGUACACAGCUAAAUUGUUGGGUAUUAAAUACUUCCAAGAUUCGAUAGCAUAAAAAGAAAGACAUAACAUAAUCAUAAAGGCAUAACAAUACUUGUUUGCUAACAAUGCACUCAUUUAGACAUUUUGUCAAACACUUGAUAUACAUGAACUUGUGCAUGAAUGGGAUCACAUAAUAAUAUGUCAUACGUUCACUAGUCAAAUCACAUAAGCAUUUCAUCAAACACUUGUAGGGCAUAAGAUUGUACAUGAUGGGACCACAUAAUAACAUGUCAUGAUUUCACUAUUUGCUUGACAUAGGCAAUUUAGCAAACAUUUGGGGAGCAUGGAUUAUUUGCAUGAUAAUAUCUAACACAUGAACAUCAUGAUAUAUUAAUCAAUUUGUAAAUUCAAUGGUUUGUCAAGAUAAUCACAUAUUUAUCACACAUGCUAUUCAAUUUUCAUGAAACUUGCAAUUAAAUCAUGGAUUGAAACCUAUCUAAUAUCAUGAACAUGAAUUCAAUCUAAUUCAAACAUAGAAAUUAUGAAUCUGAGAUCUUGUAUGUUUAAAAAGGGUUCUUGGACUUCAUUGGUAAAAGGAACUCAUGAAUGAACACCUAACAUACCUAGGAAGAAGAGUUCUUGAAGGUUCUUGGAGGAUAUCUUGAGGAUUGACCUUGAUUCAUAAAGCUAGGGUUUUUGCCUCUUAAGAGAGAAUGUUUUAAAACUUGAGAAAAGUGAGUGAAUAAUGAGAUAUUAGGUUAUUUAGGGUAUAAAUCACAUGUUUAGGCUGAUUAGGGGUUUUGAGAAUUGACCAAACAACCCCUGAAAUUAAAUAAUGAAAGCUGGAAAUCCUAAUUUUUUACCCCGACAUGAUGUGGUACAAUCGCAUCGGCUCACUGGAAAGUGGACAACUGGGAACUGGGAUAGUGGCGCGACGCGGUGCCAUUGCGGUGCCUCACUGGAUGGGAAGCUGGUCCUUGGUGCAACACGCCAUUAUCUUGAAGCAACACUAAAAAAGUGACAAUUGGGAAAUUGGCUAGUGGCGCGACGCGGUGGUAUCACGUUGGCUCACUGGAAAAUGACAAUUUCUAUUUGGACUGCCUCCACGACGCGCUGAAGUAUCAGGUGGUACACUAUUUCACAAAAAUGGCUCUAACUCUUUGCCCGGGUAUCAGAUUUGGGUAAAUUUUAUAUCAUUGGAAAUAUGACUAAAUUUCCUACAAAUUGGUGAGCUCUAAACUGAAAAAUACUAAGUAUUUCAAAAAUUUUACAUUGGAUAACUCAUUGACUGAGAGUUAAUUUUAGCUAGAGAAAUACGGGAUAUUACAUUUUAAUAUCCAUAAUAAUAAUAAAGUAGGGAAUCAGCGAUAUGGGUUUAAAAGAAGAAACCAUUUAAAAGCCUAAUCAUGAACUAUGUAGCUUUUCAAGAUCAUCCAGUAACCUAUAGGCUAUAUGGGUCCGAUACUCCCUAACCGAUGGGACCUUAGUCUAUGUUUGGCGCACGUACUGAGAUUAGGUUAAAAUCACAAAUAAACUAGAGGAACCAUAUUAUUCUCAUGUUAAAUACGCCAUUUAAUGUCCAAUAAAGAUACGACAUCCCUUUGACGGGCAGAACAUAGUUUCUAGCAUUACUCAUAAGGACUUAUGCCUUCACGGUGAAGAUUAGUCCCCUUUAAGGCCUAAUUAAAGCAAUUUUACACAUUAUUAUUCAUGGAGUCUUUUAUUAAGGAUUUUCCAUAUUGGUAUCAUCUUAAAAGUAAACCCCAUGUGUUUUCAAAAAAUCACUAAGCCUUUCGUUCUUUCAUUUCAUACCUUAUUCAAAAAAUGGUGUGAAAAUUUUAAUUUCCAUGAGAAAAAACAAGUUUUGAAAUGGGUUGAGGGCCAUAUUUUCAUCUUGAAAAAAUCCUUACAGGUUGUGAAUCCAUGUUAACAAGUUCACCAAUUUCAUAGAAUAUAUUACAUCUCAAAACCCAUUAAUAAUGCUUAAAAAACCAAUAAAACAAGAAGAGAAAUCAAUAUAAAGUUUUUCACCAAAAUUUGCUCAACCCUAGUUUUAAACAACCAUUAAAGAACAUAUAAUUAUAAAAUAAAUUGACAAAACAUAGUAAUACUUAAAGUAAGGAGUGUUAAACAUGCCUUUUUGAUGAAUAAAGCUUGAAUGUGAGCUUAGAAUCUUGAACCCUAGGAGUUCUUGCCUCUUUGAAUUUUUUGGGGGAAGAAAAGGAGUUUCUAAUCAUAUUCUUUUUUACGAAGAUUGUUAUUGAGUGUUCAAAAGGGGUUUUAAAUAUAUAAGGAUCGGACCUUAUAAGAAAAUGACCAAAAUGUCCCUAAGUUUACCCAAAAAAAAAAUUCUAGAAACAAGUUCCCAAGGCUUGAUCUAUGGACCAUAGGUUGAACCUACUGAUUGUAGGUAGAGACGUGGGAAUUAGACCUUUUUUCUUGAGCUUUCAAAACGCAACCUACAAAUCAGCCUAGGGACCGUUGGUUGAAAUACGGACCAUAGGUAGAGUCUUGGAGAUUAGAACCUUUUUUCCCAAUUUCAGGACCCUACCUACGACUCAACCUAUGGGACGUAGGUAGGGUCAUGGAAAUCAGAUAGCUUGAUAGGGCUUUGAUGAAAUAGAUAUAACUUUUUACUCCAACAUCGAAUUAAGGCAAAACUAGAUGUAUUGAAAAAAGGACACAAAAAUAUUUUAUUUAAUAUAUAGUAUACCACCUAAUACGUUAUAUUCUAGGAUUAAUGGUCAUCGAAUGUUGACCCAAGAAAGAACUUCCACUAAAACUCAAUCAGUAGAAAAUUUCUCAACUCAACAUUGAGUUAGCAGAUUUUACUAACCUCAAUUCAUCUCCAUUGAUGUUCCCACACUAUAUAAUUGUUCAUCACACUUACUUUUACAUAUAAAUCAUUGGGGACGAGACAAUACACAUAGAAAUGACAAUUCAAAUUCUUGUCCAAAAAUUUGAGGUGUUACACUAUUGGCCCCUUGGAGUCAUUCAUCCUCGAAUGAUGAGUAGGAACUUAUUGAAGCUCUAGGAGUACAUAAUGAAGGAUGUAACUUCACAUUAUAAGUUCUUACUUAAAAAAUAAUACAUAAACAUCAAAAGAAAAGAUAUUAAUAACAUCACUAAGUAAAUUGUGUAAGCACAAAUCACGAGUUAACGAGACUUGACAUAUAAUGAGCUUGGUCAUGAGUUCUAUAGAACAUGAUCAUAAAACGUAAGGCAUGAAUUUUUCCUAGUAAUCAUCAUUUUAAUUAAGGUUGAUGCAAGAUAUGGAACAAGAAUUUUGUGGGACAAAAUAAUAGAAGCAUUCUCCACCUCAAAUGAUACGUCUAAUAGCCCUUAAAUAUAACGACACUUCUCAACUAUGAUUUCAGCAAUGAAUACCACACUUCAUAUUUUCAACCUCAUAAUUCACCUGCAAAACACAUAACUACAAGAGCCUAUGUCUAACGGCAUAUUUGUUCCAUGUUGAAACCUAAUUCAAAAUUAAGAGGUGUUACCUUAACCUAUGGGAACCUAUACUCUACACCCCUCCAAGAAUACUACUCUAUCUUAUCACUAUAAUCCAACAACCUCCGGUCUUAAUCAAGGAAUACUGGACACAUAACACUAUGGUUUAUGUAUCUAUCAAUCAUAACAUUCAAGUUUAUCUUUACUAUACCUACAUUAUGGAUCUCCCACAAUAAAACCACCACCUUCAAUCACAAUCACAAAGAUUUUCACCACAUCUCCCCUUCCUAACUAUUUCACAUCAUGAAAGUUCAUCUCACUCUUCCUUCUUCAUCUAUAACCUUAGCUCGAGUAGUCACAUCAUGAUUUUUAUAAUAAAGAACAUCUAAUUUCUUAUCUAAAAUAUUUCUAAGCUUCUAUAGCCACUAUCAUCCUAAUGUAAGGAAGGUCAUUGAGGCACAAGAGAACAAACAUCUGAUAUGGGAGUAAUACUGCUCAAUUAUGACUCUUAUUUGUCAUACUACUCAAGGUGAGACCUAUGAAGUGCGAUAUAAUAUAAUAGUCAUGAAAUACUGCAUAACAAACACCUAGAUUAUAAAUAGAAGGUCAUUCAGGUACAAACAUAACAUAGCAUGAGUUCUUAGGACUGGGCACAGUGAUAGAUAUGAGUGCAUGUAUCAUGAGUUAUAUAACAUAAAGUCGAGAUUUAUAUAUUCAAGAAAUAAGAAAAAGAUUGUCGUUUGAAGUUGUUGCUUCUCAUUCUAAGAGUUGACAAUGGUUAUGAGUUUGGAAAGAUAGACUUAAAUUGAGCUAACGUAUGACAUAAAAUGAUUUGUAACAUAUAGAGAGUAUAGUUUCAUAGAACUAAGAAUAAAGUGAGACAUGAGUUCAUGGACCAUGAGCAUCAUAAUGUAGUGGUUGAAUACUUGGAAGCUUGGGUUGCUGAGAGAUAUUAUUGGUUCUAGUUCAGUGGUUGGAGCAUGGACAUAAAUUUCAUAUAGAACUUAGACCUUAGGCAUAGGCAUAAUUUGAAUACAUAAGACAUUGGCAGAAUUUCCUCUUAAACCAAAGUAAGAGGAGUUUUCUAGGAUAAGAAUAGAUUUAUCACUACUCUUCCCUGAAACUCACCACAAUGAGAAAAUUUAAGAUCUGCCUUAGUUCGUAAUAUCCCUAUUAGCUCAAAGGUCACUAUCCUAGACUUGUAGAGAUAUCCUCUCAUUAAAUCUAUAAGUACAACACUCAGCUGAAUAGGGGUAUUACCAUACACAUGAACACCAAACUCCACCCUGAUAACUAUAAUAUGAGGACACUAAGUUCUUUUUAGGGUAUCCCUUCUAGUGAUACUAACCUCAAUUUUUGCUAGGUCCAUAGUCAUCACCCUGUAACUUACACUCUCAUGAGCAUGCACAUCCAUACUUCUUAACACAUAAAAAUCCAUCCUUCACUCUUUAGUAUGCUAGCAUUAAACUUCUAUUCUCAUAACCUCAUAACUUAACAAAAUUUUUAAAAUUAUACCAUGGACUCACAUCGUCUAUAUAUAUCCCUCUUUUAAGCUCUAAAGAACACCAUAUAACAACUCUCUUGACUUCCCCUUUCUAAUAAAUUCAAGAACAUUAACUAGGUUCACAUGGAACUUAUACACUUAAAACCUCAUCUAGAAACAUGUAACCUGGGAUUCAACUUAUUCUUAUCACUACUAGAAAACAUUAAAUUUCAGAUGGUCAAUGUAGUCGGAAUGUGACCGGAAAAUAAGGUAAUUCUGACUACUUUUUGACUGAUUGAUAGCAGUCAGAAUAUAGUUUGUCGGAAAAAUAUUUCCGACUACACUAGUCGAAAAUUUCUGACUACUUUAGUCAAAAAUGUAGUCGGAUAUUUAAUAAAUAUUUAUUUAAUAAUUAUAAAUAUUCCUACUACUCUAGUCAAAAUUUAAUAAAUAAUUAUUUAAUAAUUAUAAAUCUUUUGACUAAUAAUUAUAAUUAUUCUGACUACUGUGGUCAAAAAUUUAAUAAAUAAUUAUUUUAUAAUUUUAAUUAUUCCAACCACUGUGGUCGAAAAUUUAAUAAAUAAAUAUUUAAUAAUUAUAAUUAUUCCGACCACAAUAGUCGAAAAUUUAAUAAAUAAAUAUUUAAUAAUUAUAAUUGUUUCGACCACUGUAGUCGAAAAAUUAAUAAACAAUUAUUUAAUAAUUAUUAUUUUAAAAUAAUUAUUAUUUAAUAAAUAAUUAUUUAAUAAUUAUUAUAUUGCUUAGCUUACACUGCUCUCCGUUUAUAAACAACGUAAUUAAUGUAUUUUUCACAAUAGGAUCAAAUACAACAAAAAUUUAUAAACAGAACCACUUAAAAACAUCCAAAAUAAACAUCAAAUCAAAUAGUUUAAACAUUUAAAUGUCACAACCAAAAAUAAAAACAAAAACAAUAACUACAAUCUAAUUAUCAUUAGAUUCAUUAUCUUCCUCGUCUUGAAAUACUUGCGGCAUGUUCUUCUUAACCAACUUAGCAAACUUAGCAUCAUUAGCUGCACAUUGCUGCUUCAAAUCCACAAUUUGCUUUUUCAUCGCUUUCAUUUCUUUCACACUUUACAAAGUAGAAGAGGAACUAGGAAACAACGAAGGACUACACGAGGAUUGGAGAUCCCUUGUCCCCUAGGUUCUACCUUUAUUUGGACCACCUACCAAAGUUGUCCACAUAUUAUUGUGCUCUGCAGGUGAUGGUUGGACAAGGGUACCCUCCUCUGAAGUAGGUUGGAUUUGACGCCACUCUUAUAUGUUUUUUUGAAAUUCUUCUGAAAGAAAAAUUAUUUGUCAGUAUGUAAACAAGCAAAGUUGAGUAAUAAUAAAACAAUGUAUGUAAAAGUUAUUAUCUUACACAUGCAUUCUUAUCACGUGGUUUGACCCAAUCUCCUCUUAUACCGUCCUUGUUUUUAUUCCUAUGCGUAUCUUCAUAUACCUCAAUAAAAAGGGGCUCUUUUCCCAUUUUCAUAUUCCUACAAAAUUUUAGAAAAAGAGAUAAUACAAGUAUUAUCAAUGACAAUUUCAGUAUUCAAAGCCUCAUGUUCCAGCUGCAGCAUCUUCCUAUAAUAAUAAUAAUAAUAAUAACUAUCACAAGCACACGGUAUAUGACUCUUUAUUUUAUUACUGAAAAUUUUAUUUUGGUAACCUUCAUUUUCUUCUUAGUCCAAUUAAAAUAUGGUUAAAGAUGUGACUAGUCCCAAUUUCCAACUAUGAUUUUCCUGUUUCCUUUACUGAGACGGAUACAUACAAAUCUCUACAGUUACCCUAGCUAGUUAUAAUAUAUAUAGUAUAUGGUAGUAGUAGUAUUUAAUUGUAAAACUAGUAUUCUCA